AUAUGUACCUCACACGGUAUGGCCUGGAAUUGGAGUGAGCACCAACAAGGUCUUCUCAUCUGCAUCGUCUUUGUCCUUCUGCUUCGCAGGCUUUGUGUCCCAUGAAGCUGCUUCGAUGUUUCCAGGCUUGAAAGAACAGAACAAGCGUUGGCACAUUCAGAUUCUUCUCCAAUCUACUACAGGGUGACAAAUAAUGGAUGCUGACCUUCUGGAUUCAUCUGCUCCUGUCCGCCGCCGCUUUACAGUGCUCCCCUCCACCACAGACUUCACAAUCAUUUCUCCAGUCCAAAUUCCCCCAGAAAUACUUAGAAAUCUUGUUCUUAUGAUGUGUCUUCUGCUUUUCUGCAGUAGAGUUUAGUGAACCUUUAGCAGGUUGCAGACUGGCAUGGACAUACUUUUCUGGACCUUCACGUUCCAGGUCUCUGGAUUUCCCCGUCUUCCAAGAUGAGCCUCAUCGGUUGAAGAGUCCUCCUCAAUUCCUUCUCCUUGUGAAUAAGAGAAAACAAAAACAGAAAUUCUGUAAAUGUUGUCCUCACAGUGUGUCUUAGUGUGGUGUUGUGUCUGUCUGUGCAAAAAGUGUGCUAAACAAUAGCAAGCAAACUAGAAAACAUUCAGCAUUCACUGCAUUAACUACAUCUUACACACACUUCUACGUGUGCAUCAGUAUGUUGAAAGGUUUUACUACUUCUCACAUUAUUGUGAUCUGUGAUUUGAUCUGAGCUACAUUUAUUUGCGUGAAAAGGUUUUAUACAAUAUGUUUUCAAUUGUUUGUAUGGUUGUCAUUGGUAUAAAACCUCCAGAGGGGCCAAGUGUGUGCACAUCCAGUCAAAAGUACUCAAGUGAAAGACAAAAAAUAUCACUGCAGGACACAAAGGACAAAUCUCUGCAGUCCAAUGGUGUGCAGACAUUUUUCCUGAAUUAUUUUAAUGCCUACAUUCAGUGAAAUUUUUUGAAAAAAGAUUUUUAUCAUAAUUGUUUUUUGACGUUCUACCUGAGAUCUGUUAAGUGACCACUGUUUUGCAGGCUCUUGUCAUGUACUGACCAUAAAUAAAAGUUUAAAACCAAAA